rnacentral:rRNA from 1 species
UACGUAGGGUGCAAGCGUUGUCCGGAAUUAUUGGGCGUAAAGAGCUCGUAGGCGGUCUGUCACGUCGGCUGUGAAAACCCGGGGCUCAACCCCGGGCCUGCAGUCGAUACGGGCAGACUAGAGUGUGGUAGGGGAGACUGGAAUUCCUGGUGUAGCGGUGAAAUGCGCAGAUAUCAGGAGGAACACCGGUGGCGAAGGCGGGUCUCUGGGCCGAUAUUGACGCUGAGGAGCGAAAGCGUGGGGAGCGAACAGG